GAUGAACGCUGGCGGCGUGCCUAAUACAUGCAAGUCGAGCGAACGGACGAGAAGCUUGCUUCUCUGAUGUUAGCGGCGGACGGGUGAGUAACACGUGGAUAACCUACCUAUAAGACUGGGAUAACUUCGGGAAACCGGAGCUAAUACCGGAUAAUAUUUUGAACCGCAUGGUUCAAAAGUGAAAGACGGUCUUGCUGUCACUUAUAGAUGGAUCCGCGCUGCAUUAGCUAGUUGGUAAGGUAACGGCUUACAAAGGCAACGAUGCAUAGCCGACCGGAGAGGUGGAUCGGCCACACUGGAACUGGGACACGGUCCAGACUCCUACGGGAGGCAGCAGUAGGGAAUCUUCCGCAAUGGGCGAAAGCCUGACGGAGCAACGCCGCGUGGUUGAUGAAGGUCUUCGGAUCGUAAAACUCUGUUAUUAGGGAAGAACAUAUGUGUAAGUAACUGUGCACAUCGUGACGGUACCUAAUCAGAAAGCCACGGCUAACUACGUG
rnacentral:rRNA from 1 species